ACUCAAAUGAAUUGACGGGGGCCCGCACAAGCGGUGGAUCAUGUGGUUUAAUUCGAAGCAACGCGCAAAACCUUACCUGGGUUUGACAUCCCCGGACCGCUGUAGAAAUACAGUUUCAGUAGCAAUACUGCCGGGAGACAGGUGCUGCAUGGCUGUCGUCAGCUCGUGUGGUGACAUGUUGGGUUAAGUCCCGCAACGAGCGCAACCCUUGCCUUUAGUUGCCAGCAUUAAGUUGGGCACUCUAGAGGGACUGCCGUGGUUAACACGGAGGAAGGUGGGGAUGACGUCAAGUCCUCAUGGCCUUUAUAUCCAGGGCGACACACGUGAUACAAUGGAUGACACAAAGGGAAGCGAACCCGCGAGGGGGAGCGAAUCUCAAAAAGUCAUUCUCAGUUCGGAUUGGAGUCUGCAACUCGACUCCAUGAAGCUGGAAUCGCUAGUAAUCGCGGAUCAGAACGCCGCGGUGAAUACGUUCCCGGGCCUUGUACACACCGCCCGU
rnacentral:rRNA from 1 species